CUUAUCGAGAGCGGCGGAGGGACUGGCCCGAUGAAGCCCGACAACCUGCGAAAGCAAGGUGCCAAUUCCAGCGACUUGAUCGACAGAUGAGG
rnacentral:ncRNA from 1 species